UACGGAGGGUGCAAGCGUUAUCCGGAUUUACUGGGUUUAAAGGGUGCGUAGGUGGGUUGGGAAGUCAGUGGUGAAAUACUUUCGCUUAACGAAGGAACUGCCAUUGAUACUAUCAAUCUUGAAUGUAGUGGAGGUAGGCGGAAUGCGUCAUGUAGCGGUGAAAUGCUUAGAUAUGACGCAGAACACCAAUUGCGAAGGCAGCUUGCUACACUACUAUUGACACUGAGGCACGAAAGCGUGGGGAUCAGACAGG
rnacentral:rRNA from 1 species